rnacentral:rRNA from 1 species
GUUGAACGCUGGCGGCGUGCCUAAUACAUGCAAGUCGAGCGAACAGACGCGGCGCUUGCUCCUUUGACGUUAGCGGCGGACGGGUGAGUAACACGUAGGUAACCUACCUAUAGGACUGGGAUAACUUCGGGAAACCGGAGCUAAUACCGGAUAAUAUUUCGAACCGCAUGGUUCGAUAGUGAAAGAUGGCUUUGCUGUCACUUAUAGAUGAACCUGCGUCGUAUUAGCUAGUUGGUCAGGUAACGGCUUACCAAGGCAACGAUCCGUAGCAGACCUGAGAGGGUGAGCGGCCACACUGGAACUGAGACACGGUCCAGACUCCUACGGGAGGCAGCAGUAGGGAAUUUUGCGCAAUGGGCGCAAGCCUGACGGAGCAACGCCGCGUGCGGGAUGAAGGCCUUCGGAUCGUAAAACUCUGUUAUUAGGGAAGAAAAAACUUGUAAGUAACUGUGCACGUAUUGACGGUACCUAAUCAGAAAGCCACGGCUAACUACGUG